rnacentral:misc_RNA from 1 species
AGUCGUAACAAGGUAACCGUAGGUGAACCUGCGGUUGGAUCAUUAAAUAAUGAUUGAUGGGUCAGGAAUCCUUCAAGCCUUGGUUUGUCAAGGACUGACUCAUCACUAACCCCUGUGCAACUGUCUAGUAUUUUGGGUACUGCAGUGUUUCUGAUACUGCAAUGCCCGAGCAUAUAAAAUAACACCAAUUGAAACUUGUCUUGUUUAAUUUAUUAAAAAUAAUGUAAACAACUUUUGACAACGGAUCUCUUGGCUCUC